rnacentral:misc_RNA from 1 species
AACGCAACUGGCGCCGGUUUACCGUCAUGCCUGUUUCAGUGUGCUAGGAGAGUAAACUAUCAUUAUAAAAGAUAAUUUGAUUGAGGUACAUGUAUGUUCUUCUUUCGUUAAAUAUGAAGGUGUGAAAGAUGAGUAAUCUCUCACACUGGCAAACGAAGUAGUCAUGCUUGUUCGUGAUCUCGUUUAACCAGUGCUAAAUGUUUUUGCUUAGCUAUAAAUCAAAUCUAAUCAAUUAAAUAUCCCCAAAUUUGGCAUCUGAAAUCAGACAAGGAGACCCGCUGAACUUAA